AUGAUCAUACUUUUUGGGAUCAUUUCUAUAGUAUGCACGUCAGUCAAAACUGACUAUAACCCUGAAACCAGGAUGACGAGUCGUAGCACCCACUCCUGAGCGUGAGACUCAAAUGCACGUCUGCUUGCUCCCUCAAUGGGAUCUCAGACGUUCGUUUACUGAGGAUCGUUCCUGCCCGACCUAGUUUCAGACUCGAGGGAGCUGGUGCCUACCGACUGGU
rnacentral:snoRNA from 1 species